CCCAGGAGGGCAGAGAUGUCCCCAGGAGGGCAGGGAUGUCCCUGCCACGGAGGCAGAGCAAUUCCCAUCAAAAUACAAAACCAAAUCGGUGCUGGGAUUAUUCCCAAUCUCUUCCCUGUAUCUCACAUUUCACUCCCGGAGCCUCAGUGCUGGGAUUGAUCUGAGCACACACAGCUGAGAUAAAUGAAAUUACUGCGUGGAUUGCCAGAGAAAUGUGUAAAAAUGGAGAAAUGGCGUGGUGAAGCUGUGGAGGAGCUUUUUAAAUUCCCUUUUUACCUCAGGAGCUCGGCACGCUGGGCUUUGAGUGCAGCCCUGAGGAGGUGGAUGUGGAGGACAUCACCCAGAACCAAACCAACACCAUCAGAGCCUGCACGGCCCAGGAUGCUGCGCCUGGAAAUUGCCCGGUUUUGGAAAGAUCAACUUUCGAUAAGGUGAAUAAAAAUUUCCCAAUAAAGUUAUUUUUAUUCUCAUUGCAUGAUUAAAUGAGCAGCAAAUUCCCACAUUUCCUGACAAUUCCCUGUUGUUUUUUUUCCAGGGAAAAUGCCUGCAGGGAAUCUCUGAGGAUCUGAGAGCCUACAGGACAGAGCUGAGGAACCUCCAGGACCCGCAGCUGCUGCUGGCUCUCGAUGGGAUGAUGGAGGCCCUGGGCAGCAGCACUGGGAAGGUUCUGGAAGCACCGCUGGCAUUGGGAUCAUCAGGAUCAUUGGGAUCAUCGGGAUUGGGAUCAUUGGGAUUGGGAUCAUCGGGAUCAUCGGGAUUGGGAUCAUUGGGAUCAUCAGGAUCAUUGGGAUCAUCGGGAUUGGGAUCAUCGGGAUCAUCGGGAUUGGGAUCAUCGGGAUCAUUGGGAUUGGGAUCAUCGGGAUCAUCGGAAUUGGGAUCAUCGGGAUCAUUGGGAUUUGGAUCAUUGGGAUCAUCGGGAUUUGGAUCAUCGGGAUCAUCGGGAUCAUUUGGAUCAUCGGGAUCAUCGGGAUCAUCGGGAUCAUUGGGAUCAUUGGGAUUGGGAUCAUCGGGAUCAUCGGGAUCAUCGGGAUCAUUUGGAUCAUUGGGAUCAUCGGGAUUGGGAUCAUCGGGAUUGGGAUCAUCGGGAUCAUUGGGAUGGGGAUGGGCGCCGUUCCCGGCGCGGCUGCGCCUCUGCAGCGUGCUCCAGGCCUUGCGCAUCCGCAGCAUCACCAUCAGCAGGAUGCUGAACUUCCUCAGCUCCCUCUGAAUCCCGGGAAUCCGCCAGAACCCAAGGAGAUCCUGCGGGAACGGCGGGAUCCGCGCCCGGCGAGCAUUCCCCGGAAUUCCCGUAAAUGGGCGUUCCAAACCGCGCUUGGUUCCCGGGAUCCGGGGAUGGAAGCUCCAGCUGAGCUCGGAUUUAUCCACAUUUAUUCUGCUGCUUUCCCAGGAAUUCAGAGCUGUUUAUGAUAAUCCCUUCCAACUCCAAUUCUAAUCCGUGAUUUAUUUAGGGUGAUAUUCCAUUCUAUUCCCUGAUUUAUUUAUGGUGAUAUUCCAUUCUAUUCCCUGAUUUAUUUAUGAUUUCAUUCCCUGAUAUUAUGGUGAUAUUCCAUUCUAUUCCCUGAUUUAUUUAUGAUGAUAUUCCAUUCUAGUCCGUGAUAUAUUUAUGAUAUUCCCUAUUUAUUCUCUUUCCUGCCUAAUAAAAUCAAAGUUGCCUCCA
rnacentral:lncRNA from 1 species